AUUUUUCUUAGCAUGUCAGCACGUUGGGUAACAUUAUCUCCAUUUUAAACAAAAGAAAACUAAAGCUCUGAGAAGGAAAAUGUCUUCCUCAAAUUCAAAUACAUUCAGCUGGCUGCAGUUAUAUUUUGCUCACUGUUAUAGCCUCAGGAUCUUUCAGAGUCACUGGAAUAUGUCUUGCACCUGUUCUGCUCUGGCGCAGGAUUGUUGAAGAUGGCAGAGGAGAAAUGGACGUGCCCAGAAGAGGAGCAGGGCCCCACACCACUGUGAAGGGCUUGGGCAUCAGCGAUCAUGAUUUCUCUGCAUCUCCUCACGGUGCUCAACAAAUAUAAAAUAGCAGCAGUUCCCAGCUCAGAGACCCCACCCUGAAAUAUUCCCCACCAAAGUCAAGCGGGCUGCAAAUAACCUGAGGGAGCAAUGAUUUCCCCUCGCGAAGCCCUCGGGAUCAAUUAGAGCUAAUCAAAGAUUUGGCCCAAGAAUUAUAAAUUGGAAUUGAUAUAAAGUACUUCACUUCGAAACACCUCACUCUUCCCAAAAUGAUGAUUCAAAUAACUGACAUUCCGAAUGAGACUGAAAAAUGUGCUUUGGGAAGAAGAUGAGAUUCCUUUGCCAAACAAUAGAUUCGGUAUUUUUGGAAUGACUGAGAACAACAAAGAUAAAAUACCCAAACCUACCUCAUGAGUCAGUCAAGCUAAAAAACCAGACGUUGCCAUUAUCCAAGUUAAGUGAACAAUGCUUUCUUAAUUAUUUGUUCUAAUCAGUCAAAGGUCAGCAUGACCUAGGAUCUGACUCUAAGUCUGCUGAAGAGAAAACACUUUAAAAUUCAACUUUUGGGUUUAUGGUAGGUGCUCAAUAAAUAUUUGUAGGAUGAAUGAGUGUGUAGGCUAAGAAAGCAUUCAUUGAAAUAGGUCCUAUAAGAUCUAAGAGCAGGGCUGGGAGGCACCCCUUGGCACCCUAGGCACUUGUCAUUGGGCCCUGCACUCACACAAACUCAGGGCAUGAUGGGUGGGGGAAAGAUCAGUUAUUAUGAUCACAUUCAUCAUUUAUAAAAAUCAGUAAUACAAAUUUGUCCUGGAAAAUAGCUGAAUACUUAUUUAUUUAUUUACUUAUUUAUUUAAAAUGUUUAUUUAUUUUUGAGAGAGAGGGAGAGACAGAGAGACCGAGAGAGAGAGCAUGA